AGUCACAUCACAUUGAAUCGCAGGUUUCCGUACGAUUACCGGAGUUAAGCAAACUCGAGCCUUGUCAGUUCUUAGAGGGGUGACCGCUUGGGAAUAAUAGGUACUGUAAG